CGCGAAUAGCUCAUUACAACAGCUAAAAUCUACUUGAUCUUGACACAAUCCUACUUGGAUAACUGUGGUAAUUCUAGAGCUAAUACAUGCAUUAAAGCUCUGACCUCACGGGACGAGUGCAUUUAUUAGAACAAAACCAAGCGGCUUCGGCUGUUUUCGGUUGACUCAUAGUAACUGAGCUGAUCGCAUGGUCUUGCACCGGCGACGUGUCUUUCGAGUAUCUGCCGUAUCAACUUUCGAUGGUAGUGUAUCUGACUACCAUGGUGAUCACGCGUAACGGAGAAUAAGGGUUCGACUCCGGAGAGUUCGCCUGAGAAAUCGCGAACACAUCUAAGGAAGGCAGCAGGCGCGAAAAUUACCCACUCUCAGCACGAGGAGGUAGUGACGAAAAAUAACGAGACCGUUCUCUUUCGAGGCCGGUCAUCGGAAUGGGUACAAUUUAAACCCUUUAACGAGUAUCUAUGAGGGGGCAAGUCUGGUGCCAGCAGCCGCGGUAAUUCCAGCU
rnacentral:rRNA from 1 species